UUAAAAUCGUUCUCCAAUAUUUCUUGGGUCAGCCAAGGGACCAAAAGCCUCAAGAAGACACACAUCCAAAUGAAGAAGAAAAAAGGGAAUGAGUUUUUCUUUUAGUACUACGUUAUGCAAGGUACACAGGAAGCUAUCUACUUACUGGUGGAUUAGUAUGGGUCAAUCAGUUCGAUGGCAAAGAGAUUUCCCUUGAUGUCAAUUCUAUGUAAUGUGUGUUGAAAGGUGGUUUAAUGUUAUGUAAAGAAAAUGUAAUAAUUAAAUAAAUGAGUUUGCCAUAAG